AGAGUUUGAUCCUGGCUCAGAACGAACGCUGGUGGUAGGCUUAACACAUGCAAGUCGAGCGGGAGAUUGGAUGCUUGCAUCCGAUUGAGAGCGGCGCACGGGUGAGUAACACGUGGGAACAUACCUUGGACUGGGGGAUAACAGUUGGAAACGACUGAUAAUACCGCAUACGCCCUUUUGGGGAAAGAUUUAUUGGUCUAAGAAUGGCCCGCGGAAGAUUAGGUAGUUGGUGAGGUAACGGCUCACCAAGCCGACGAUCUAUAGCUGGUCUGAGAGGACGAUCAGCCACACUGGGACUGAGACACGGCCCAGACUCCUACGGGAGGCAGCAGUGAGGAAUAUUGGGCAAUGGGCGCAAGCCUGACCCAGCCAUACCAUGUGAGUGAAGAAGGUCUUCGGAUUGUAAAGCUCUUUCGAAUGUGAAGAUGAUGACGGUAGCAUUUAAAGAAGCCCCGGCAAACUUCGUGCCAGCAGCCGCGGUAAUACGAAGGGGGCGAGCGUUGUUCGGAAUUACUGGGCGUAAAGGGUGUGUAGGCGGUAGUGUAAGAUAGGGGUGAAAUCCCGGGGCUCAACCUCGGCAUUGCCUUUAUGACUGUGCUGCUUGAGUAAUGGAGAGGAUAGUGGAAUACCCAGUGUAGAGGUGAAAUUCGUAGAUAUUGGGUAGAACACCGGAGGCGAAGGCGACUAUCUGGCCAUUAACUGACGCUGAAACACGAAAGCGUGGGGAUCAAACAGGAUUAGAUACCCUGGUAGUCCACACUGUAAACGAUGAAUGCUGGUUGUCGGCCUUUAGGUCGGUGACGAAGUUAACGCGCUAAGCAUUCCGCCUGGGGAGUACGGCCGCAAGGCUAAAACUCAAAGGAAUUGACGGGGACCCGCACAAGCGGUGGAGCAUGUGGUUUAAUUCGAUGCAACGCGAAGAACCUUACCAACUCUUGACAUCCUCAUUGCGACCUUAAGAGAUUAUGGUUAUCAGUUAGGCUGGAUGAGUGACAGAUGCUGCAUGGCUGUCGUCAGCUCGUGUCGUGAGAUGUUGGGUUAAGUCCCGCAACGAGCGCAACCCUUGCCACCAGUUGCCAGCAGGUUAAGCUGGGCACUCUGGUGGGACUGCCGGUGACAAGCCGGAGGAAGGUAGGGAUGACGUCAAGUCAUCAUGGCUCUUACGAGUUGGGCUACACACGUGCUACAAUGGCGCCUACAGAGGGCAGCGA
rnacentral:rRNA from 1 species